GCCCGGGUGGCGGAAUGGUAGACGCGCUGGCUUCAGGUGCCAGUGACUUAACGGUCGUGGAAGUUCGAGUCUUCUCCCGGGCACCA
rnacentral:tRNA from 1 species